rnacentral:rRNA from 1 species
AUGGAAGUAGAUUUAGGUGGUCAUAAAAGAAGAGGAUAUGGCGAGUCUUCUGUAAAAAGAGAAGGAGAAAGAGAGAGACCUACUCGAUCAGCUGGAAAAUGGCCUCCUGAAAAAGAUGAUUAUCAACCUACAUAUAUCCCUGGACAAUAUACAUUUAUGGGUUCUAAAAGAAGAGGUUUUGAAAAACUAAGCAAGGCUACAAUAAAGGUGUGGUUGAAAGAUGACGAGUCAAUAUACCCCAUUAUAGAAACAGAUGAAAUAGAAAAUGAAGAGCUAGAAGAAGAAUCUAGUGAAUAUGAAAUAGAUUUAAUAGAUGAUCUAUCAGGAUUAAAAGUAGAGAUGAUGAACCAGAUCAUAUGGAUAUUGCCGGGCACGGGCAACCAAUUGAAUAAAAGAAGGAAAGAUGUUUUACGGGUUGACAAAACCAACGAGACAACCUACGGGCAGUUCCAUCCAAAGGGAACACUUCUCUACAGCCACAAGGUUCUCAUUCAAACGCCACACAUCGGCUAA